rnacentral:rRNA from 1 species
AACGAACGCUGGCGGCAUGCCUAACACAUGCAAGUCGAACGAGACCUUCGGGUCUAGUGGCGCACGGGUGCGUAACGCGUGGGAACCUGCCCUUAGGUUCGGAAUAACUCCCCGAAAGGGGUGCUAAUACCGGAUAAUGUCUUCGGACCAAAGAUUUAUCGCCUUUGGAUGGGCCCGCGUUGGAUUAGCUAGUUGGUAGGGUAAAAGCCUACCAAGGCGACGAUCCAUAGCUGGUCUGAGAGGAUGAUCAGCCACACUGGGACUGAGACACGGCCCAGACUGCUACGGGAGGGAGCAGUGGGGAAUAUUGGACAAGGGGCGAAAGUCUGAUCCAGCAAUGCCGCGUGAGUGAUGAAGGCCUUAGGGUUGUAAAGCUCUUUUACCCGGGAUGAGAAUGACAGUACCGGGAGAAUAAGCUCCGGCUAACUCCGUG